UCGACAUCUUGAACGCAUAUUGCGGCUACGGGAUAUCCUGUGGCCACGUCUGUCCGAGGGUCGG
rnacentral:rRNA from 1 species